rnacentral:rRNA from 1 species
AGGUUACUGCUAUCGAGGUUCGACUAAGCCAUGCGAGUCGAAUGUAGCAAUACAUGGCGAACUGCUCAGUAACACGUGGACAACCUGCCCUUAGGUUGGGUAUAAACCCGGGAAACUGGGUAUAAUACCCGAUAGGUCUCGAUUGCUGGAAUGCAUCGAGAUUUAAAGCUCCGGCGCCUAAGGAUGGGUCUGCGGCCUAUCAGGUAGUAGUGGGUGUAGCGUACCUACUAGCCUACGACGGGUACGGGUUGUGAGAGCAAGAGCCCGGAGAUGGAUUCUGAGACACGAAUCCAGGCCCUACGGGGUGCAGCAGGCGCGAAAACUUUACAAUGCUGGCAACAGCGAUAAGGGAACCUCGAGUGCCAGGUUACAAAUCUGGCUGUCGAGAUGCCUAAAAAGCAUUUCAUAGCAAGGGCCGGGCAAGACCGGUGCCAGCCGCCGCGGUAACACCGGCGGCUCGAGUGGUAACCGUUAUUAUUGGGUCUAAAGGGUCUGUAGCCGGCCGGAUAAGUCUCUUGAGAAAUCUGGCAGCUUAACUGUCAGGCUUUCAGGAGAUACUGUCUGGCUCGAGGCCGGGAGAGGUGAGAGGUACUUCAGGGGUAGGAGUGAAAUCCUGUAAUCCCGGUGGGACCACCUAUGGCGAAGGCAUCUCACCAGAACGGGUCCGACAGUGAGGGACGAAAGCUGGGGGAGCAAACCGGAUUAGAUACCCGGGUAGUCCCAGCUGUAAACUAUGUGCGUUAGGUGUGUCAGUGACCACGUGUCACUGAGGUGCCGAAGGGAAACCGUGAAACGCACCGCCUGGGGAGUACGGCCGCAAGGCUGAAACUUAAAGGAAUUGGCGGGGGAGCACCACAACGGGUGGAGCCUGCGGUUUAAUCGGACUCAACGCCGGGAAUCUCACCGGAUAAGACAGCUGAAUGAUAGUCGGGAUGAAGACUCUACUUGACUAGCUGAGAGGAGGUGCAUGGCCGUCGUCAGUUCGUACUGUGAAGCAUCCUGUUUAGUCAGGCAACGAGCGAGACCCACGCGAGCAGUUGCCAGCUUGACCUUUGGGUUGAUGGGGACACUGCUCGGACCGCCUCUGCUAAAGGGGAGGAAGGACUGGGCAACGGUAGGUCAGCAUGCCCCGAAUUAUCCGGGCUACACGCGGGCUACAAUGGACAGGACAAUGGGUUUCGACACCGAGAGGUGAGGAUAAUCUCCUAAACCUGUCCCAAGUUCGGAUUGCGGGUUGUAACUCACCCGCAUGAAGCUGGAAUCCGUAGUAAUCGCGUUUCAACAUACCGCGGUGAAUAUGUCCCUGCUCCU